rnacentral:rRNA from 1 species
CCUACGGGUGGCAGCAGUGAGGAAUAUUGGGCAAUGGACGCAAGUCUGAACCAGCCAUGCCGCGUGCAGGAAGACGGCCCUAUGAGUUGUAAACUGCUUUUGUACGAGGGUAAACGCAGAUACGCGUAUCUGUCUGAAAUUAUCGUACGAAUAUGGAUCGGCUAACUCCGUGCCAGCAGCCGCGGUAAUACGGAGGAUUCGAGCGUUAUCCGGAUUUAUUGGGGUUAAAGGGUGCGUAGGCGGUCGGAUAAGUUAGAAGUUAAAUCCCGAGGCUCAACUUCGGAAUUGCCAGUGAUACUGUUAGGCUAGAGAGUAGGAGAGGUAGGCAGAAUGUAUGGUGUAGCGGUGAAAUGCUUAGAGAUCAUACAGAACACCGAUUGCGAAGGCAGCUUACCA